rnacentral:rRNA from 1 species
UCAAAGGAAUUGACGGGGGCCCGCACAAGCGGUGGAGCAUGUGGUUUAAUUCGACGCAACGCGAAGAACCUUACCUGGGCUUGACAUCCCUGGAACUCCCUGGAAACAGGGAGGUGCCCUCGAAAGAGGGAGCCAGGAGACAGGUGCUGCAUGGCUGUCGUCAGCUCGUGUCGUGAGAUGUUGGGUUAAGUCCCGCAACGAGCGCAACCCUUGUCCUUAGUUGCCAGCAUUCAGUUGGGCACUCUAAGGAGACUGCCGGUGUUAAACCGGAGGAAGGUGGGGAUGACGUCAAGUCCUCAUGGCCUUUAUGCCCAGGGCUACACACGUGCUACAAUGACCGGUACAAAGGGCUGCGAUACCGCGAGGUGGAGCGAAUCCCAUAAAGCCGGUCCCAGUUCGGAUUGGAGUCUGCAACUCGACUCCAUGAAGUUGGAAUCGCUAGUAAUCGCAGAUCAGCAGGCUGCGGUGAAUACGUUCCCGGGCCUUGUACACACCGCCCGUCACACCACGAAAGCUGGCUGUACCAGAAGCUGCCGGGCCAACCCGUAAGGGAGGUAGGCAUCUAAGGUAUGGUUAGUGAUUGGGGUGAAGUCGUAACAAGGUAGCCGUAGGGGAACCUGCGGCUGGAUCACCUCCUUUCUAUGGAG